CCUACGGGGGGCAGCAGUGGGGGAUAUUGGACAAUGGGGGGAACCCUGAUCCAGCGACGCCGCGUGAGUGAAGAAGUAUUUCGGUAUGUAAAGCUCUGUCAGCAGGGAAGAAAGAAAUGACGGUACCUGACCAAGAAGCCCCGGCUAACUACGUGCCAGCAGCCGCGGUAAUACGUAGGGGGCAAGCGUUAUCCGGAAUUACUGGGUGUAAAGGGAGCGUAGACGGUUAAGUAAGUCUGGAGUGAAAGGCCGGGGCCCAACCCCGAGACUGCUCUGGAAACUAUUGAACUUGAGUGCAGGGGAGGUAAGCGGAAUUCCUAGUGUAGCGGUGAAAUGCGUAGAUAUUAGGAGGAACACCAGUGGCGAAGGCGGCUUACUGGACUGUAACUGACGUUGAGGCUCGAAAGCGUGGGGAGCAAACAGGAUUAGAUACCCUAGUAGUC
rnacentral:rRNA from 1 species